AAACAACAACACAUCAUGGAAGCGUGGAAGUUACCUGAACCCUGAACAUUUUUACCUGAAAAAUAGCGGCAUGUUGGUAUAGUAGGCAACUAUGUGAUGCCUUAAGAAACCUCAUGUUCUGCUAUGUGAGAAAGUGGAUAACAACACAAGAAUACCAGAUGUUGAGCGGCAUGUUGGUAUAGUAGGCAACUGGAUGUGACGCCUUAAGAAACAUCAUGUUCUGCUAUGUGAGAAAGUGGAUAACAACACAAGAAUACCAGAUGUUGAUAGCUUGCUACAGUUAAUUCAUCUGCAUAUACAACCAGACCAGCAGCCCUCAUUAGCAGGCAGAAAAUGAUGAAUAUUCAUUGAAAUCAACUUGAAACUGCAAAACUCAAGAAAACUGCAAAACUGACACCUAAUCCAGAACAACUUCUGAGAGGCAUAUAUAUCUUUCAGCGGGGCCAAGGGUGGUGGGUGGCGCGUAGGUUCCACGCGUGGCGAUCGCCUAUUAUAGGCGAUUGCUUCCGCUUGGAUAAUCCCAACUGUCUUAAUGCGCGAAAUGCUGCCGAAAUUUUCCAAAAAAGUUUCGUUAACAUUUAUUGGAUUGUAUGUGUUGUUUGAAAUACAGUACGCUACAAAAGAGUUGUAGUACAAUGAA